CUUCUUAAGCAAUUCGAAGAAAGCAUUAACAACCUACAAUAUAAUAUAAAAAAUUAACAUCAUUGAUUUAUCUACAACAAGAUUUAUGCUAGAUUGAAGACAUGAUAACAUUGAACACAACUUGAUAAUUAAUGCAUGACAAAAAUAUAUGAAUUGCCAAAUUAAUUUAUGUCAAAUCACUAUAUAUUUGAUAAUUACUUAUUGAAUCAUUAAUAUAAUACUCUUUUCGAGUUUCAUCACUUUGGGGCACCAUGAGUAAAGGUGCCAAUAUCUCACCCUGAACUUUAAAUUUUUUAUCUCGUCCAAUCGAUUUUUUGUGAAACAUAAAUUUCUUUAUAUAGUUAAGUUAUAAUGAUCAUUUUGUAUUCCACUAUUAACACAUUAAAACUAGCAAUAUACCCAUUCAACUCAUUCCUUUGCCAUUUAUCUAGCCGUUUAUACUCCUUGCUAGUAAAUACGCCUUAAUAUCCUAUAAGAGUAAUAACCAAAUAAAACCAUUAAUAUAUGAAUAACUGCAAAGGAAUGUAUGUAUAUAUAGAACCAAAGAAAUGAAGUAUGAACCUGUUCACACCAUGGUCCUUCCUCCUUCAAUGUUGUUUCAUCUUCAGACUCGGAAGAUGAACUCUGAACCUCUUCCGAUUGAUUAUUAUCGAACAAUAGAUCAUAGUUCCAAAUUUCAAUUACGUCAUCAACAUUUUUUUCAUCAGGUU
rnacentral:lncRNA from 1 species